rnacentral:rRNA from 1 species
GACGAACGCUGGCGGCGUGCUUAACACAUGCAAGUCGAGCGGAGCGGCGAACGGGUGAGUAACGCGUGAGUAACUGCCCCCCUCUCUGGGAUAAAAGAUGGAAACGGGUGCUAAUACCGGAAAGUGGGGGAUGACUUGUGUCCUGUCAGCUUGUUGGUGGGGUAGUGGCCUACCAAGGGGACGACGAGUAGCCGGCCUGAGAGUGCGACCGGCCACAUUGGGCUGAGAUACGGCCCAAACUCCUACGGGGGGCAGCAGUGGGGAAUAUUGCACAAUGGUGGAAACCCUCAUGCAGCAACGCCGCGUGCGGGAUGACGGCAUUCGGGUUGUAAACCGAUUUCAGCAUGACGCGGUAGUGGCAGAAUAAGCACCGGCUAACUUCGUGCCAGCAGCCGCGGUAAUAC